rnacentral:rRNA from 1 species
AUCAACUUUCGAUGGUAGGAUAGAGGCCUACCAUGGUGGUAACGGGUAACGGGGUGUUAGGGCACGACACCGGAGAGGGAGCCUGAGAAACGGCUACCACAUCCAAGGAUGGCAGCAGGCGCGCAAAUUACCCAAUCCCGACACGGGGAGGUAGUGACAAUAAAUAACAAUACGGGGUUCUUUCGGAUCUCGUAAUUGGAAUGAGUACAAUUUAAAUCUCUUAACGAGGAACAAUUGGAGGGCAAGUCUGGUGCCAGCAGCCGCGGUAAUUCCAGCUCCAAUAGCGUAUAUUAAAGUUGUUGCAGUUAAAAAGCUCGUAGUUGAACUUCGGGACCAAUUUGUUGGUCGUGCCUCGGUACGUACUGGUAUUAUUGGUUUCUCCCUUCUGAAGAACCUCGAUGUCAUUAAUUUGGUGUCGUGGGGAAUCAGGACUGUUACUUUGAAAAAAUUAGAGUGUUUAAAGCAGGCAUACGCUUGAAUACAUUAGCAUGGAAUAAUGAAAUAGGACGUUUGAUUCUAUUUUGUUGGUUUCCAGGAUCGACGUAAUGAUUAAUAGGGAUAGUUGGGGGCAUUAGUAUUCAAUUGUCAGAGGUGAAAUUCUUGGAUUUAUUGAAGACUAACUACUGCGAAAGCAUUUGCCAAGGAUGUUUUCAUUAAUCAAGAACGAAAGUUAGGGGAUCGAAGACGAUCAGAUACCGUCGUAGUCUUAACCAUAAACUAUGCCGACUAGGGAUCGGAUGAUGUUAAUUUUUUAAUGACUCAUUCGGCACCUUACGGGAAACCAAAGUGUUUGGGUUC